GGAGAGGGCUAGCGUUAUUCGGAAUUAUUGGGCGUAAAGGGCGCGUAGGCGGAUUAGUAAGUUAAAAGUGAAAUCCCAAGGCUCAACCUUGGAAUUGCUUUUAAAACUGCUAAUCUAGAGAUUGAAAGAGGAUAGAGGAAUUCCUAGUGUAGAGGUGAAAUUCGUAAAUAUUAGGAGGAACACCAGUGGCGAAGGCGUCUAUCUGGUUCAAAUCUGACGCUGAGGCGCGAAGGCGUGGGGAGCAAACAGGAUUAGAUACCCUGGUAGUCCACGCUGUAAACGAUGAAUGUUAAAUAUGGGGAGUUUACUUUCUGUAUUACUGCUAACGCGUUAAACAUUCCGCCUGGGGACUACGGUCGCAAGAUUAAAACUCAAAGGAAUUGACGGGGACCCGCACAAGCGGUGGAGCAUGUGGUUUAAUUCGAUGCAACGCGAAAAACCUUACCACUCCUUGACAUGGAAAUUAUACCUAUUCGAAGGGAUAGGGUCGGUUCGGCCGGGUUUCACACAGGUGU
rnacentral:rRNA from 1 species